rnacentral:lncRNA from 1 species
GGUCUGCUCUCCUCCUUUUCAGGAGGUCGCUGCUGCAGUUUGGGUCCUUCUUGUGGUGCUUUGAGAUCCACAACUCUGCUCUCCACUAGAUUUGCAAAUUUUCCUUCCCCCUCAUCGGCAGGAGAAGGCCCCACCUUUGCUGAAAAGUCUCUGCUGUCUGAGUAGCCGAUGACCUGGUGCACCAAAAAGCAACCUCAACAGUUGCCGUUCCUAUUUCCGGUGCUAUUCGAACGCCGCAAUUAUAGAGAGUUUGAGAUGCAGACAUCAAGGCAGAGCGAGCGCCAGAGACAAGAGGAAGGGCUGCCUUGCAAGUGAAUAUUGUGCAGCAAUAAUACAGGGGACGUGAGACUAUUUGGACCUGCUCCAAAGGUGUGUUGGCUGUUGUUUCAUUGUCAGGUCGCGGUUCAUC